AAUCUAAGUAAUGAAUGAGAAUUGAAGUAUCUGCUUGAUAAGACUAGUAUAGAAUUUAACUGAUUUAUUCGAAUGAUUUAUUUCUUUCCUUUCUUCUUCUUUUGGCUUUUCUUUUUGCGCUUCUCUU
rnacentral:ribozyme from 15 species